rnacentral:misc_RNA from 1 species
UCUCCGUUGGUGAACCAGCGGAGGGAUCAUUACCGAGUUUACAACUCCCAAACCCCUGUGAACAUACCUAACGUUGCCUCGGCGGUGCCCGCUCCGGCGGCCCGCCAGAGGACCCCCAAACUCUUGUUUUAUACAGUAUCUUCUGAGUAACACGAUUAAAUAAAUCAAAACUUUCAACAACGGAUCUCUUGGUUCUG